AGGAAUGUCUGAAUUAAACAACAUACAGCUGCUUUAGUGCUUUAUUUUGUAUACUAUUCUGGUGUCUAGAUUCUGCUAUUUUACUGUGGUGGCAGAGCAAAUAGAUAAACCCAGAUCCUUGUUUGUAAAGCUUCAACUUGGAAUUUUAUUUCUGGUUUCAAAUACGGAGUGAAGAGAGGAAUGUCAUCUGCAAUUCAUUUCUUUGGUCUUUCUUGCAAACCAAGAAACCCAGUUCUCACCACCCACCCUCCCUUUUCUACCCACUCAACUUCCAAUACUUUCAGGUUCCUCAGUGUCUCCAGAACACUCUCUCAUAAUAUGUUCUCCAAAGGUUGUUUGUCAACAACUAAUGUUGAAAGGCCAAUCCGUCAAUCUAUUAUUUGCAUGGCCAGAAGAUAUGCUCCCAACUCUAGGUUGAGAAAGCUAGAGGCAUUGAAAGCAAAAGCUAAUCGGAGGGUGAAUUCAGAAGUAUGAUGACAAAAAGGAGAUCAAAGGGUUCAUUUGGUUACAAAAAUUCAUGUUUUCGCUUGAUUAUUUUAUGUUGAUUCCUUGGAGAAACUGUAGAGGUUUGGCUUGUAAUUUGAGUGAUCUAUUGCUGUGCUUUUUCUAGUGUUUCUCUUGCUUGCAGCAGAGUUGCUUUAGCGUUGUAGUUUGAUUUACGGCCCCUGUUUUGUUCAUCAAACAGCACCAUAUUCAUCCAUAAACUACAACUAAAUGAAUUUACCUGACAAAGGGUUUUUUCUGCCAUAGAUGAAGAGUAGAAAAAGGGGUGGCGAUCCGGAGAAGAAAAGGACGAGGAAGAGGAAGAGGACUGGGAAAAGGAAAGGUAGGGGUGAGACAAAGAAGAAGAAAAAUGUUAGAGUGAUGAGGCUUGCUUCAUCAGCUGGGACAGGAUUUUUCUAUGCCAAGAAAAAGAAUACAAAGAACAAGGAGAAACUUGAUAUCAAGAAGUAUGACCCUAGUAUAAAACGCCAUGUUAAGUUUUCUGAGUUAAGUGGGAAACAAUGAAAUUCUAGUUCUAGUUAGGGUAGGCUACAUAUGCCCAUCUUCUUUUGCUUCUUCAAUUCUGUAUAGCUGUUUUUUUGGUAUAUUGAAGCCUUUGCUGCAGGGGUGGCCAGUUUUGAGAUGUUUGAUUAUACUCA